CUUCGCUAGCGUAUGGAAAAGAUUUGGAGGAUGCUCUUUAUACUGAGCUUUGCAUGCCUGUGUUGGUCUGCUCAUCACUGCUCCUCGUCAAGGAGAAUUAGUAUUCUAUUUUCCACAGGGCCACAUAGAGCAGGUCGAGGCGUCCACAAAUCAGGUUGCCGAUCAACAAAUGCCUGUUUAUGAUCUCCCAUGGAAGAUCCUUUGCUAGGUGAUCAAUGUAAAAUUGAAGGCCGAACUGGACACUGACGAGGUUUUUGCUCAAGUGACUUUACUUCCUGAAGAAAAGGUCUAUUGCUCUUUUUUCUUGGUUUAUGAGGCUUCAAUUUUCUGGAUCCAA